GGAGAGAUGUCCGAGCGGUUGAAGGAACCGGUCCUGAAAACCGGCGGCGUGUCAUAGCGCUCGUGGGUUCGAAUCCCACUCUCUCCGCCA
rnacentral:tRNA from 1 species